rnacentral:rRNA from 1 species
UACGUAGGGGGCGAGCGUUGUCCGGAAUUAUUGGGCGUAAAGGGCGCGUAGACGGCCGAGUAAGUUAUAGGUGAAAGCCCAUCUUUCAAGGAUGGAAUUGCCUGUAAUACUGCCUGGCUUGAGUGCAGGAGAGGGAAGCGGAAUUCCUAGUGUAGCGGUGAAAUGCGUAGAUAUUAGGAGGAACACCAGUGGCGAAGGCGGCUUUCUGGACUGUAACUGACGUUGAGGCGCGAAAGCGUGGGGAGCAA